GAUGAACGCUGGCGGCGUGCCUAAUACAUGCAAGUCGAGCGAACAGACGAGGAGCUUUCUCCUCUGACGUUAGCGGCGGACGGGUGAGUAACACGUGGAUAACCUACUUAUAAGACUGGGAUAACUUCGGGAAACCGGAGCUAAUACCGGAUAAUAUAUUCAACCGCAUGGUUCAAUAGUUAUAGACGGUUUUGCUGUCACUUAUAGAUGGAUCCGCGCCGCAUUAGCUAGUUGGUAAGGUAACGGCUUACCAAGGCAACGAUGCGUAGCCGACCUGAGAGGGUGAUCGGCCACACUGGAACUGAGACACGGUCCAGACUCCUACGGGAGGCAGCAGUAGGGAAUCUUGCGCAAUGGGCGAAAGCCUGACGGAGCAACGCCGCGUGAGUGAUGAAGGUCUUCGGAUCGUAAAGCUCUGUUAUUAGGGAAGAACAAAUGUGUAAGUAACUAUGCACGUCUUGACGGUACCUAAUCAGAAAGCAACGGCUAACUACGUG
rnacentral:rRNA from 1 species